UGGGGAAUAUUGCGCAAUGGGGGGAACCCUGACGCAGCCAUGCCGCGUGAAUGAAGAAGGCCUUCGGGUUGUAAAGUUCUUUCGGUAUUGAGGAAGGUUGAUGUGUUAAUAGCACAUCAAAUUGACGUUAAAUACAGAAGAAGCACCGGCUAACUCCGUGCCAGCAGCCGCGGUAAUACGGAGGGUGCGAGCGUUAAUCGGAAUAACUGGGCGUAAAGGGCACGCAGGCGGUUAUUUAAGUGAGGUGUGAAAGCCCCGGGCUUAACCUGGGAAUUGCAUUUCAGACUGGGUAACUAGAGUACUUUAGGGAGGGGUAGAAUUCCACGUGUAGCGGUGAAAUGCGUAGAGAUGUGGAGGAAUACCGAAGGCGAAGGCGGCCCCUUGGGAAUGUACUGACGCUCAUGUGCGAAAGCGUGGGGAGCAAACAGGAUUAGAUACCCUGGUAGUCCACGCUGUAAACGCUGUCGAUUUGGGGGUUGGGGUUUAACUCUGGCGCCCGUAGCUAACGUGAUAAAUCGACCGCCUGGGGAGUACGGCCGCAAGGUU
rnacentral:rRNA from 1 species